rnacentral:rRNA from 1 species
CCUACGGGUGGCAGCAGUGAGGAAUAUUGCACAAUGGGGGAAACCCUGAUGCAGCGACGCCGCGUGGAGGAAGAAGGUCUUCGGAUUGUAAACUCCUGUUGUUGAGGAAGAUAAUGACGGUACUCAACAAGGAAGUGACGGCUAACUACGUGCCAGCAGCCGCGGUAAAACGUAGGUCACAAGCGUUGUCCGGAAUUACUGGGUGUAAAGGGAGCGCAGGCGGGAAGACAAGUUGGAAGUGAAAUCCAUGGGCUCAACCCAUGAACUGCUUUCAAAACUGUUUUUCUUGAGUAGUGCAGAGGUAGGCGGAAUUCCCGGUGUAGCGGUGGAAUGCGUAGAUAUCGGGAGGAACACCAGUGGCGAAGGCGGCCUACUGGGCACCAACUGACGCUGAGGCUCGAAAGUGUGGGUAGCAAACAGGAUUAGAUACCCGUGUAGUC